rnacentral:rRNA from 1 species
AUGCGUCAACUGAAGCUCGUGCGCUACAUGAGGGCUCAAAACGACAACUGGUUCGCGGAAUACCUCCUACGCAUUGGAAACGGAACAGAGGAGACAAAUGAAGAUGGUGAAAUACUACUACCAACAAGUAUAUGUGUGGCAAAUAAGACAGAUGAUAAUGGCCUGGAUAUGCUCAUCGACAGUGUCUACCAAAUGGACAAUGCUUGCUUAAAAGAUCCAAAGUACAUCACGUCAAGAUCCAUUCUAUCAACAAGGAAUGACUCAGUAGACAAGAUCAACCUAAAAAUGAUUGAUCGCUUCCAAGGGGAGGAGAUGGUGUACCACAACUUCGAUUCCGUAGAAGACGACCCACAUAAAUACUAUCCACCAUAA